rnacentral:rRNA from 1 species
UACAGAGGGGGCGAGCGUUAAUCGGAAUUAUUGGGCGUAAAGCGCGUGUAGGCGGCUUAGCAAGUCGGGCGUGAAAGCCCUCAGCUCAACUGAGGAAGUGCACCCGAAACUGCUGAGCUUGAGUGCCGGAGAGGAUGGCGGAAUUCCCCAAGUAGAGGUGAAAUUCGUAGAUAUGGGGAGGAACACCGGUGGCGAAGGCGGCCAUCUGGACGGUAACUGACGCUGAGACGCGAAAGCGUGGGAGCAACAGG